rnacentral:rRNA from 1 species
UAACGCGAAGAACCUUACCAGGUCUUGACAUACUAUGCAAAUCUAAGAGAUUAGACGUUCCCUUCGGGGACAUGGAUACAGGUGGUGCAUGGUUGUCGUCAGCUCGUGUCGUGAGAUGUUGGGUUAAGUCCCGCAACGAGCGCAACCCUUAUUAUCAGUUGCCAGCAUUAAGUUGGGCACUCUGGUGAGACUGCCGGUGACAAACCGGAGGAAGGUGGGGAUGACGUCAAAUCAUCAUGCCCCUUAUGACCUGGGCUACACACGUGCUACAAUGGAUGGUACAACGAGUUACGAACUCGCGAGAGUAAGCUAAUCUCUUAAAGCCAUUCUCAGUUCGGAUUGUAGGCUGCAAUUCGCCUACAUGAAGUCGGAAUCGUUAGUAAUCGCGGAUCAGC